rnacentral:tRNA from 1 species
GCCUUGGUAGCUCAGUAGGUAGAGCGCCCGACUGUUAAUCGGAAGGUCGAAAGUUCAAGUCUUUCCCAAGGCG